rnacentral:misc_RNA from 1 species
AAGUCGUAACAAGGUUUCCGUAGGUGAACCUGCGGAAGGAUCAUUACUGAAUUAAUGACGGGGUUGUCGCUGGCCUUUACCGGCAUGUGCACGCCUCGCUCAUCCAAAUUCUUACACCUCUGUGCACUUUACAUGGAAUAAUUGGGGUCGUCUGCUUCAUUGCGGAUAACAACAGUUGUUCUGUGAUUUAUUACAAACGCUUCAGUUUAGAAUGUCAAUUGCGUUCAACGCAUUAAAUACAACUUUUAGCAACGGAUCUCUUGGCUCUC